rnacentral:rRNA from 1 species
AAGGUCCGGAAUUUGUCUAAGUUAGUCUAACGAAGUGGGGUCUCAGUGACAGCCAGGAUGUUGGCUUGGAAGCAGCCAUUCAUUCAAAGAGUGCGUAACAGCUCACUGGUCGAGAGUCCCUGCAUGGAUAAUAAUCGGGUAUAAGACAGAUACCGAAGGCGCGGGAUAGCAUUAAAGAAAGUAUCGGUAGGGGAGCAUUCCAUAUCCGUCGAAUGGUGCGGGUAACUGAUCCUGGAGGAUAUGGAAAGCAAAUGUAGGUAUAAGUAACGAUAAGGAGGGUAAGAUUCCCUCCCGCCGCAAGACUAAGGUUUCCCGGGCAAUGUCARUCAUCCCGGGGUCAGUCGGGUCCUAAGUCUCAGCCGAACGGCGAGGGCGAUGGCAGACACGGUCAACAUUCCGUGACUACCUUUAGGAGCGAUGCGGAGACGGAGCAGUGACACUUCCGCGAGCCGACGGAAUGGCUCGUUGAAGAGUGUAGGCGUUGAUCACGGCAGGCAAAUCCGCCGUGAGAGUCGAACUUGAAAGUACAGGGUCCUCUUCGGAGGAACUUGAUAGCGAGGGUAAGCAUACUCCCGAGAAAAUCCGCUAAGCAAUCCUAAAGGUACCCGUACCGUAAACGGACACACGUAGUCGGGUAGAACAUACUAAGGCGUUGAGAGAUUCAUGGUUAAGGAACUAGGCAAAUUGACCCCGUAACUUCGGGAUAAAGGGUCCUCGUGAAAGCGAGGCGCAGAGAAUAGGUCCAGGCAACUGUUUAACAAAAACAACAGGGCUGUGCGAAAUCGAAAGAUGAGGUAUACAGYCUGACAGAGAAUAGGUCCAGGCAACUGUUUAACAAAAACACAGGGCUGUGCAAACUCGAAAGAUGASGUAUACAGCCUGACACCUGCCCGGUGCYGGAAGGUUAAGAGGAGAUGUYACYAGYAAURGGAAGCAUUGAAUUGAAGCCCCRGUAAACGGCGGCCGUAACUAUAACGGUCCUAAGGUAGCGAAAUUCCUUGUCGGGUAAGUUCCGACCUGCACGAAUGGUGUAAUGAUCCGGACGCUGUCUCAACCAUGAGCUCAGUGAAAUUGUAGUAUCGGUGAAGAUGCCGAUUACCCGCGAUGGGACGAAAAGACCCCGUGAACCUUUACUACAGCUUAGCAUUGACCUUGGUCAUCCGAUGUGUAGGAUAGGCCGGAGGCUUYGAAGCGGGAGCGCCAGCUUUCGUGGAGCCAUCCUUGAAAUACGGCCCUUUGGCUGUCUGAGGUCUAACGCGYGUWURCGCGGACACUGCUUGGUGGGUAGUUUGACUGGGGUGGUCGCCUCCAAAAGCGUAACGGAGGCUUCCAAAGGUGCCCUCGGGUCGAUUGGUAACCGACCUCAAAGAGUGCAAUGGCAUAAGGGCGCUUGACUGGGAGGCCAGWCAUGCCGAGCAGGCAGGAAACUGGGGCAUAGUGAUCCGGCGGAUGUGUAUGGAAACUCCGUCGYUCAAAGGAUAAAAGGUACUCCGGGGAUAACAGGCUGAUCCCCCCCAACGAGCUCAYAUCGACGGRGUGGUUUGGCACCUCGAUGUCGGCUCGUCACAUCCUGGGGCUGGAGAAGGUCCCAAGGGUUGGGCUGUUCGCCCAUUAAAGUGGCACGCGAGCUGGGUUCAGAACGUCGUGAGACAGUUCGGUCUCUAUCUAUCGUGGGCGCGGGAGUUUUGAGUGGUGCCGUCACUAGUACGAGAGGACCGUGAUGGACAGACCUCCGGUUUACCAGUUGUGCCGCCAGGUGCACCGCCGGGUAUCCAUGU